GUCGGCGGUGGAGCUCGCUGCUGGGAUUUCUGGGCGCCCUGGACAGUGUGCUAGGCGGCCGGGGAGGAAGGGGGCUCGGCCAUGGGCGACGGCGACUCGCUGCGGGUGCUGUUUGGUGGGGAAUAUGGGGAGGAGAUGGAGCAGCGGCGCUGCGCAGGGAUGCUGCUGGGCGCGGACAGAGGUAGAAGAAAUGGGGCUUGUGCUCGCGCGCAGGGAAUCCUCGGCGCCAUGGCUGCUGGCCGGAGCUGGAGCUCGGCAGCAACAGAGGGGUGGCUGCUGGUUUUUCCAUGGAAGGAAUGGGGGCGCCAUGGGAAGGAGAGGAAUGGAGCUGCUGCACUUGAAGGGGAGAGGCGUCGAGCACCAUGGUGGCCGCGAGGAGGAGCUGCGCAGGGGCCGUCGGGACCUGGGCGUCCCUGCUGGAAUGGAGCUCGGCCAGGGGAACUGCUCCCUGCGCCAUGGAGAGAGGAGAGCUGGGGGCUGCUGCUCGGCCACACCAUUGAGCCGAGGAGGAAGGGCGCCAUGGGCAGGAAAGCUGCUCGCCAUGGGAGCCCACAACCAUGGCGUGGAGGAGCUUCCUGGUGGCUGUUGCC
rnacentral:misc_RNA from 1 species